GGGGGGGGGGGGGGGGGUGGGGGACACGUUCCGGUCGGGCUAGCCCUUCGGGUCUAGUGGCGCACGGGUGCGUCACGCGUGGGAGCCUGCCCUUCGGUUCGACAUACCUCCCCGAAAGAGCUGCUACGACCGGCUCCGGUCUUCGGACCACAGGGGUGUGGCCUUUCUAUGGGCUCGCGUUGGCUUAGCUAGUUGGUAGUGUACACGCGUACCAAGGCGAGCAUCCAUGGCUGGUCAGAGAGGAUGAUCAGCCAAACUGGGACUGAGACACUGCCCAGACUCCGACGGGAGGCAGCAGUGGGGAAUAUUGGAAAAUGGGCGAAAGCCUGAUAAAGCAAUGCCGCGUGAGUGAGGAAGGCCUUAGGGUUGUAAAGCUCUUUUAACCGGGAUGAUAAUGACAGUACAGGGAGAAUAAGCGCCGGCUAACUCCGUG
rnacentral:rRNA from 1 species